GACGAACGCUGGCGGCGUGCCUAACACAUGCAAGUCGAACGGAACUUCUUUAAAGGAUUUCUUCGGAAUGAAUUUGAUUAAGUUUAGUGGCGGACGGGUGAGUAACGCGUGAGUAACCUGCCUCUAAGAGGGGAAUAACAUUCUGAAAAGAAUGCUAAUACCGCAUAAUAUAUAUUUAUCGCAUGGUAGAUAUAUCAAAGAUUUAUCGCUUAGAGAUGGACUCGCGUCCGAUUAGUUAGUUGGUGAGGUAACGGCUCACCAAGACCGCGAUCGGUAGCCGGACUGAGAGGUUGAACGGCCACAUUGGGACUGAGACACGGCCCAGACUCCUACGGGAGGCAGCAGUGGGGGAUAUUGCGCAAUGGGGGAAACCCUGACGCAGCAACGCCGCGUGAAGGAUGAAGGUCUUCGGAUUGUAAACUUCUUUUAUUAAGGACGAAGAAAGUGACGGUACUUA
rnacentral:rRNA from 1 species